UGGGGAAUAUUGGACAAUGGGCGAAAGCCUGAUCCAGCCAUGCCGCGUGUGUGAAGAAGGUCUUCGGAUUGUAAAGCACUUUAAGUUGGGAGGAAGGGCAGUAAGCGAAUACCUUGCUGUUUUGACGUUACCGACAGAAUAAGCACCGGCUAACUCUGUGCCAGCAGCCGCGGUAAUACAGAGGGUGCAAGCGUUAAUCGGAAUUACUGGGCGUAAAGCGCGCGUAGGUGGUUCGUUAAGUUGAAUGUGAAAGCCCCGGGCUCAACCUGGGAACUGCAUCCAAAACUGGCGGGCUAGAGUAGGGCAGAGAGUGGUGGAAUUUCCUGUGUAGCGGUGAAAUGCGUAGAUAUAGGAAGGAACACCAGUGGCGAAGGCGACCACCUGGGCUCAUACUGACACUGAGGUGCGAAAGCGUGGGGAGCAAACAGG
rnacentral:rRNA from 1 species